GAUGAACGCUAGCGGCAGGCCUAACACAUGCAAGUCGAGGGAGGAGCUUUCGGGCUUCGACCGGCGUACGGGUGCGUAACGCGUAUACAAUCUGCCUUUCACAUAGGGAUAGCCCGAAGAAAUUUGGAUUAAUACCUAAUGGUAUAUAGGAGUGGCAUCACAUUUAUAUUAAAGCUGAGGCGGUGAAAGAUGAGUAUGCGUUCUAUUAGCUAGUUGGAGAGGUAACGGCUCCCCAAGGCGACGAUAGAUAGGGGUUCUGAGAGGGAUAUCCCCCACACUGGUACUGAGAUACGGACCAGACUCCUACGCGAGGGAGCAGUGAGGAAUAUUGGACAAUGGUCGGAAGACUGAUCCAGCCAUGCCGCGUGCAGGAAGACGGGCUUAUGGGUUGUAAACUGCUUUUGCAGGGGAAGAAUAAGGACUACGAGUAGUUUGAUGACGGUACUCUGCGAAUAAGCAUCGGCUAACUCCGUG
rnacentral:rRNA from 1 species